GUGGUCUCUGUGUGGAGCUUUCAAAAGAAAUCUGCAGUUUGUUUCAAGACAAAAGGAUUGUGAAGACAGCGAGACGGUGUGAGCGAUGCUUUCAAGUGGACUUCAGCUCUCCAGCAUACAGGAACUGAUGUGCAAUGUGUCCCACGGUGGUGGCACAGCCAAAUACAACAUCCAGAAGUUUGUUGAUUUCAUGCAUAGAAACAGAUCCAAGCUUGAGUUCUCCUGGAUCACUGCAGACAAAAGUGUCCUUGCAAACCACCUGGACCGCGCCAAGCAGGUGAUAAGUAGCAGCUGCGACACUCUCGUCACCUCAAGCUGCUACCCAAACGUCGUCUAUGAAGGACAUGUCGUCUUAGAGGGGACGGUCCGAGAUUACACAGCCAACUGCACCACUACCUGCCCUGCAAAAGGUCUGUUUGAUGGAAAAGGGGAGUCCUCCUUGACUGAAAUCCCUCCUUUAAUGACUGCGGUCAUGGUUAUCCUGCCCGUCCUACUGCUGGCAGUCCUCGUGGUGUAUCUCGUGCGCUCUAGAAGAAACACGGGUGUGCCCAUGAUGCAAGAUCCUGCACUGCAGAUGAAACUCCAAAUACCAGCUGACGUGGAGACGGGAAAUCCGGAGAGCAGCGUGUAAAAGUUUCUCUGCACAUGCUGGAUUGAUACUUUGUGUUGUUGCCUCUGCAGUAUUUUAUUAGGGAUAUGCGUCCGUUAUAUAUCUUUGCUUUUCUGUGUUUUGUCAGGCAGUUACAGAAACUCAGCAAAGAGUUUCCACUCAGGACCCCCAGUAUAAUAAAUACGCUUUAAUUAUAAACUCAUUGUUUUAGUGCAUUAAUGUGUAAAAUGUGUCCACCGGGUCAGUAGAUCAGAGCUGUACUGGCUCUGAAAAAGGCCAGUUUCAUUACUUUAUAGGCUAUUCUGCUACUACAGGGUUACCAAGUAAGAGUACGCCAUAAUUUAUUAGAGGAUUUAAAUUUUUAUGAGAAAAAAAUCAGCGACUUAAGCUUUAAAAUCAUUGUAGUGGAGUGAAUGCUGUGUGCCUCUUUAGACUGACCUCCGCCCGCAGCAGUUUACAAGAAAACCCUGACAAAUUUAAAGUUGCAGCACUUUAUCUGUAGAUGCACUUGGACCCAAUGUGAGCAGCUGAAGACGUGGCUUUUCUUCACUUUUAAACUAUGCAUGCAGGCGGUUUGAUGAAGAGCUUUUAUUAGGAUUUUAAUGUGAAAUUUACGAUGGCCCUGAGAGAUCAAAUCCACAGGAACUUGGAGAAACAUCCACAAGUAGGAACACAAUCAUCAGAUAAUUGAUGUGAGACUGUAGAUACAUGUGUGCUAUUAGCUGUUUGCUCACCGUUUGUCACUCCUACAGCUGCUCCGUCACGUUAUUGUCUCACUUUGUGUUUUGUGUGUCAUUGCAGCGUUUUUUUAUUUGCUAGUGUUUUCCAAAGUUGCAGUGCGUUUGACCUCUCAGGGCCUCCGUGGAAAAGAUUGUAAGAAGAGACUUCUUACUAGUGAGGGUCCAUUUAAGCUAGUUUGCUUUAUAGAUGAAAUGUAUAUUUAACCCAGCUGUAUCAGCUUUGUGUCGCAAUGUGAUUUCCCUUUGUUUAAAAUCAAUAAAAUGUUCUGUUUGUGAUCAU
ensembl:lncRNA